rnacentral:lncRNA from 1 species
UUUUUUAUGGCAAGGGAGGCCAGCAGAACAAAGCCACCUGGAUUUUAUUGAGAACAAAGAAUAUACAUCAAAAGGAACUAAGUAGAAUGAAGAGAGGAAGGAGACAUGAUUAAGCUAAAAAUUCUAAAGUUAAAACUCGACAGGUGAACAGCAGCCAGAACAGAAUAUGGCUAUUUGAAAGGUACCUCUAUCUCCAUUCCUUCAAAUUUUCAGGUCAUUUGAAAGAUACCUCCAUCUCCAUUCCCAUUUUGAUAACAGAGAUAUAUUAAAUUGAGCUAGAUCCUUUUGAGUCCCGGACCGAGAAUACGUUUUACUUGUCCAAAUGACUAUCAUUCUCGUGCCACCAAGUCAAAGACACGAGGCAUUAGAACGCCCGUCAUUUACAAAUACAGAUCAA